UACAUGGGGUGCAAACGUUGCUCGGAAUUAUUGGGCGUAAAGCGCGCGUAGGCGGUUACUCAAGUCGGAUGUGAAAGCCCUCGGCUUAACUGAGGAAGUGCACCCGAAACUGAGUAGCUAGAGUACUAAAGAGGGUCGCGGAAUUCCCGGUGUAGAGGUGAAAUUCGUAGAUAUCGGGAGGAAUACCAGUGGCGAAGGCGGCGACCUGGGCCAAUACUGACGCUGAGGUGCGAAAGCGUGGGGAGCAAACAGG
rnacentral:rRNA from 1 species